rfam:Guillardia theta CCMP2712 unplaced genomic scaffold GTITHscaffold_2, whole genome shotgun sequence.
AUACUUACCUGGCGAGGGUGACCGCUCGAUCAACAAGGAGUGGCCCUGGCAUGGAGCACGACAUCGCACUCGGUCGCUGUGAAGUGUCAUGACCUGACGUCCUUAUGGGCGCGGGCCAAUCGCAUAAUUUCUGUAAGCGUGGUACUUGCGUUCGCGCAACACCACC